rnacentral:lncRNA from 1 species
UCGCUUUGGCCUCCUACGUGGAGCAUUGGCUGUUUCUUCCUUCUCUUUGUUGUCUUCAUUCUCUCCACCAGCUUGGGAAGUUUCUGUGCGUUCUGUGUUGGUCUUCUUCUCUACCUUCGCCUCCACCUUAGCCUGCAGAAGAACAGACUUGGUUAUGAGCAUGAAUGUGAAUGAAAAAUACCCCCAUGAAAUUAAUAUGAAUGAGCAUGAAAUAAGUUUUACUACUUACAGGUUUCUUCCCGCCGAAUAUGAGCCUAAAGAAAAUUGUUACGAAAACAACCACAACGGAUGCAAGAAUUCCAAUAGUCAGAUUUGGUUGCUUCUCCCCCUUUUCAAUGAUUUCCUGUAGAGAAGCAUAAAGUAUAAGUCACAAUCCAUCCAGUAAGUGAAUGGUAAUGGAUACCAAAAGAGGACGAAAAUGUAAGUUCAUUAUUUGAAGCUUUAAUACUUACAAUAAUCUUAUCUUUCUGGCCACUCAGGAAGGGAAUGUCUGCGAUCUUGUACAAGAGGUCAAAUGCCUUCUUCUGUAAGGUAAAAAAAUAAAAAAUUAACAUCAUGCAUAAGAAAGAAAAGAAGGCUUGUAAAUGUAAGAGAGUAGAGUAAAUGGAAGGAUUUUCGGUACCUGGUAGCCAGCAAUACCCUCUGACUCAGCUGCUGCCUCCUCUUCAGCCUUCUGCUUCUCUUUCUCAAUGUUAAACUUGGGUUUCCAUGUAGUUUCACGAUAGGAUUCUGCAAUCUUAUCAUCCUUAGCUAUAAGAACAUUAUCAAAUAGAAUGCCGUCCUGCAUUGUCCAAAUUUCAAUACCAAUAGCAGCAAUAGGCUCAAAGUCAGGUUUCUCAAGUUCAAAGUACUCUGGGUUUGGAAUCUCCUGAGGCUUCCAUAUACCCUUAUAAGCUGGGUUAUCAAUGAAGGGGGCACUCCAUUUUCCCUUAUAAGCUGGGUUCCUCUUCGUUGGCCUCUUCCACUCACCACAACCAGGGGCUGUUUCACACUUUGGGUUUUCAAUUUUGGGAGCUUCCCAUUCACCAUCCUCCUCAUCAUCCCAAUCUUCAGGUUUUGUUGCCUCCGGGUCAUCUAUUUCCUCUGGCUCGUCGUCCAGCCAUCCUUCAGGUUUCUCAGCUUCUUCAUCGAUAAUUUCCAUGGGUGCAUCCUCAUCCCAGUCCUCUGGCUUUACAGCUUCUGGGUCAGGAAUCUUGGCUCUCUCGUCCCAGUCUUCGGGUUUGUUAUCAUCAGGAUCAGGGAUUGUCUUGGAAGGGAUAAGAGAAGGCUCAAAAUCCUCCUCGGAUAGGAAGUUAGCCUUUUUCUUCUCCUCGCCGUCAACUAGAAUUCUCAACUCAUUAUCAGGCUUUAGAAUGGCAGUGUACACAUGAGAUAGUUUGUCA